UUAACAAACACUCUGGAGUUGCAGUAUUCUGUGCUGAUCUAUCCGGCCUAUAUUUAAUCGAGAUGGGUGCAUGCUGUUCCAAGCAUGUGUGUGAUAUGGUUGAACCGCUGGUUUAAUGGGCAGAUGUGUGUGAUAUGUUUAAACCGCUGACUGAACAGGCAGACGCUCUUUAAAUCUCUCCAGACUAACAGACCAAUUGUCACAACAUUUGUUUUCCAGAUUUUUGCAUUCCUUUGACGUACUGGAAAAUUUAUAAUGGCAACAAAAUGCACUUAUACUCUAUAUUUACACCCGUUACACUACAGAACAGCUCAGUGGGUGUUACUUUGUUUUUUACUUCUUCUUCAAAAAAGUAAAUAUUAUGAUUGCAAAAUCCAAAUAAUGUAUUUGUAAAAUCAUGAAAACGUGCUUGAUUUUCCUUCUUAAAUUUGAAAACCUCAUGCGGAACCUGAACAGGCUUGAUUAGGUCAUUAAAACGCAAAAAUAUGUCUCAAGCACUCAACCAAAUAGGAUGAGGGCAAUAUCGGCGGCCUAAUAUACUAUUUAAAGACAUUGGUUAAGAUAAAUGGUUGAGGGGAAAGAGAGGGAGAGAGAAAGAAAUGGAAGUAAAGAAGAUAAGCACUUUAGAGAUAGAAAAGGUCACGGUGAGCAGUUGAUUUGAAAAGUUGCUACGAUCUCACAAAGGCCAAUGACAUCAUCAGGUAGUGAAGUGUGGGGCAGAGAGAGACGCAGAGAAAAGAAGGCUGCUUACCCAAGACCAUAAUUACAUUUGCUCUAAACACAGCCAAAAGCUCCACAGCUUGCGCUGAAUAAUUUUCAACCAUUUCAGAGCCUCCAUUCAUCCCCCUCCUUCAUUGCAAGAGAAUAUAAAGGCUUUGCAGUGCAUGUAGGGAAGACAUAGCGCCUAGCCAGCAUGAAUGGAAUGCUAUUAAUCAUGUUUCCAGUGCUGAACGUCGCUGUAAAGAGGAGGUUAGGACUUGAUCCAGUUUGGCUGAGACAUACAGUAGGCCUCGCUCAGAGCGGCUGUUGCGACUGCUGUUUAGAGAUCUCCUGUCUUCCAGAUCCCAGUCAUGGGUUUUAACACUCCAAAAGCAGGCCAGCAAUCUUAACAGCUAUAAAAAGUGGGAUUAUCACCUUGCUUGUAAAGACUGCAGCCCAUUUGGAAGAAGUGUAAAAAAUAAACGACAGGAGCAGAUCUCCAGCCUAUGGAUGCUUCCGUCAGAGCAGGUGUUUGGCAACUAACUGCUUCUGUAUGCUUAGCGUGCCCACACACACACAUACACACACACACAGGACAUUUUUUUUCAACAAAAACUUGUGCAAGAGCAUCUUUUUCUUUUUUUUUGU
rnacentral:lncRNA from 1 species